AUGAUCUCUAUAGGCGGGUCCUCCUCCUCGUCGUCGUCCGCCGCGGCGGGGGUCAGGAUGGGCGGGGCCAAGCGGCGGGGGAAACCGGGCGGGGCCGCCGCGCCGGGGGCCGCGGGGACGCCGCAGACCAGGUGGCGAAGCGGCACGCAGGAGCGGAUCUACGGCCGGCGCCUGCUGGACGCGCUGCGGGCCACGCGGUCGGGCGCCGCCUCGUCCGCGCAGCCGCCGCAGCCGCGCGCCGUCAAGGCCGCCGCCGACUCGGCGCUGGCGCUCACGGCGCGCGGGCAGUCCCGCUGGAGCCGCGCCAUCCUGCUGGCCGGCGCCGCGUCCUGCCGACGCCGCGUGCUCGUCAAGGCCGGUGGCAAGAUCCGACGCCACCGCCGCCCGCAGGCGCGCGCGGCCGCCGCGGCGUCCAAGGCCGCGGCCGCGGCGUCCGCCGGCGAGCCGCCGUUGCUGAAGGAGCGGAAGGUGAAGGACCGGCUCCGCGUGCUGGGCCGGCUCGUCCCGGGGUGCCGGAAGCUGCAGGCGCCCGACCUGCUCGAGGAGACGGCCGACUACGUGGCCGCGCUGGAGAUGCAGGUCAAGGCCAUGCGCGCGCUCGCCGAUGCGCUCGCGGCGGCCCAGCUAUCGUCGCCUCCCCCGCCGGCCGCCGCCGGCGACGACGAGGCCGAGAUGGAGAGGUGA
rnacentral:rRNA from 1 species